rfam:Nematocida sp. JTm2807 4, whole genome shotgun sequence.
UCCCUUGUGGUCUAGUGGCUAGGAUUUCGCGUUUUCACCGCGACGGCCGGGGUUCAAUUCCCUGCAAGGGAA